rnacentral:rRNA from 1 species
UACAGAGGGUGCAAGCGUUGUUCGGAAUUAUUGGGCGUAAAGCGCGUGUAGGCGGCUUGGCAAGUCGGAUGUGAAAGCCCAGGGCUCAACCCUGGAAGUGCACUCGAAACUGCCGAGCUUGAGUCCCGGAGAGGAAGGCGGAAUUCUCGGUGUAGAGGUGAAAUUCGUAGAUAUCGAGAAGAACACCGGUGGCGAAGGCGGCCAACUGGACGGUGACUGACACUGAGACGCGAAAGCGUGGGGAGCAAACAGG